rnacentral:lncRNA from 1 species
UCUUGUGAUUCAAAUUUCAGUCUACUUUGUCUUAAAGUUUACUGCUCAAACAACUGUUUUUAGCAUUCAAACGAAUUCAAAAUUGUGACUGAAAAUCUGUACAUAUACGCCUCAAACAGAUCUUUCACCAAGUGCUAUAUUCACUAAAUCUCUGUUGGUCUCUAUUACCAAUGAUAGAAAAAUAAAACAACAUGCUUAAACAUUCAUAAUACAAAUUUGAACCAUUUUAUCAAAAAAAUAUUCAGGAAUUAAAGUUGAACUACACAUAUAAAGGGAACUUCAAAUUUAAACUAAAUGGAUUUUCAACUAAAUUACGACUAUAAUAAGAAAUAAAAUUACAUAGUCCUGACUGAUUGAGUUAACUACACUUGAUGAAAUGCUAUAAUAACUGUAACCUUCGAUUUCAUCCACAACGCUUGUCAAUUUGACGAACAAUAGCUUACAACAUUUCAAAAUGGCUUGAUUUGGGUUUGAGACUCACAGAUCUGGCCUAUUGAUGGCCAGACCCAUAAGUUGAAGCCAUGACAUAACAUUAUCAGUCCUUCACAAAUAGCUUGACAUGUUGUCUUAACAAACCAUUAGGAAGUCUAUAGAUUAGAAUUCAUGAUCAACAAAUUAUGAUGUGGAGAUGCCAAUAAUAGAAACUAAUAGUAAUACAUGUGCUUAAGGACAUUCAUAACAGCAGCAAACAGGUCAGAGGUGAGCGAAUGCCAAUUCAAGCCAUUCAAAUACUUAGAACAUUGCAUAAGAAGAUAUAUAACAUCAUGUAAGCACAACGACCAUCUGAAUUUCACAGAUUUCAAGCUCAAAUUGAUUGUGCUAAGCUCAGAAUCAUACAAAGUUAUCAAUGUGUACCUUAAAGCAGCAAAAGUAAGUAGAAGAGAAAAUAAGUCUCUGAAAUUCUGAGAAGAAACAGCAGCAAGAACACAAAGCAGAAAAACCAAAACCACAGCAGCCUCAAACUCAGACCAUGAAUCCCAGCAAAAGAACAUUGGGAAAUGAAAAGAAACACAGCCUGGAUUUUUUUUCUUUUGUUUUCUAGCUUUAAACUUAAAAAGAAGAUCAGAUUGAAAAAUGAGGAGAAAGAGUCUUGGAAUAUUUUUUUCAGGGCUCUCUUGCGCGUCCGAAAAUUCCUGUUUUAGAAUGCAGAAUGAGUCCUAUUAUAUAGGCUGUGUGUGUGUAAUCAGAGAGAAUGAGAGAGAGUCCCCAAAAAAAAUAGAAUUUGUCAGGCCCUCACUAAAAUUUAGGAAAAUAGCAUCUUUCAAAACUGAAUUUGGACAAUUGUCCUUGUUUCUAGAUGGUUCUUUUUAUUUCUUACCAUUUAACUUCUGAAAAUUAUUUCUUGUGACCCCAACUUGAAAUGAACUCUGAUUUUUAAAAAAAAAUGCAUUUUAGUCCCUUCUAGAGACUUCCCCAACAAACAAAUCAGAUUCCCUAAUUUUCCAAAUCCCUUUGACCCCUUUAACUCCUAUUAAUUACACAUGAGUCAUAGCAGAAAGAAAUCAUGUAAAUCAGUCCCAAUAAACAAAGAAGCAAAAUUAAUCUAAUUAACUCAAUAAUUAAGACUAAUUAGCAUGCAAUUGAGCUGUUAAAAUCACAUAAACCCUUAAAACAAAACAGACAUGUUGCGCCUUAAAACAAAUAGCCAAAAUGUUAAUUUACUGUUAAUUAACUAAUUACUAAGCUAAACUAAUUAAACUGAGAUAAACGUUCAUCAAACAAGUUCUGAUUAAACACCUAAAACACAUUGUUCUUCUCUCUUUUUUUUUAAUCUUUCUUAAAGCAAACAAAAUAACAAAACAAGAUAAAGAGGGCAAGGAUGUACCUAGUAAAGAAAAACAAAACUACCCAUCUUGAAGCGAAACAAGAGGCUCGACCGGAUUCCGAUGAUUCCGUAAUAAACUAAAGCUUACAUUAAUUAAUUGUUCUUGACAAGAACAAAUAAUUAAUGUUAGUUUCAACUCAAAACAGCUUGAACUUGAUGAAGGAAUCGGAAAGAACUAAAUUAGGUUUUCUGGCCGAUUUUAGAUCUAAAAUUCGAGGAUUUUGAGUGGUGUUUUAGGAAAAUUGAAGGUAGAUUUGGAUUGAGGAUGAAGUGAGGAGUGUGGGGUGUGAAUUUGGGCGGAUUUGGAGGUCGUUUGGUGGUGCCAAGAUGGCGACCGCUGGUGGAGGUUUGUGGGAGUUUGGGGGCGGCUAGGGUUAGGCUGAGGGAGAGAGAUGGAGAAGUGAGAGGGAUCUGAGGGGUUUGGAAGAGGGGGGGGGGUCUCCGACAGAUAUAGGGGAUUGGAGAGUGGAGUUGUGGGUCGUUCGAUCAAAGGAAAUCAACGGCUAAGAUCGACGUUACGAAAACGACGUCGUUUUGGUUUAGUGAGGAAUCUGGACCGGAUUGGGGAGGCGUUGGACCUGGGCCGCGUGAGUUUGAGGGGAAUCUUAGCAGUUGGG